AAAUUGAAGAGUUUGAUCAUGGCUCAGAUUGAACGCUGGCGGCAGGCCUAACACAUGCAAGUCGAGCGGUAGCACAGAGAGCUUGCUCUCGGGUGACGAGCGGCGGACGGGUGAGUAAUGUCUGGGAAACUGCCUGAUGGAGGGGGAUAACUACUGGAAACGGUAGCUAAUACCGCAUAACGUCGCAAGACCAAAGUGGGGGACCUUCGGGCCUCAUGCCAUCAGAUGUGCCCAGAUGGGAUUAGCUAGUAGGUGGGGUAACGGCUCACCUAGGCGACGAUCCCUAGCUGGUCUGAGAGGAUGACCAGCCACACUGGAACUGAGACACGGUCCAGACUCCUACGGGAGGCAGCAGUGGGGAAUAUUGCACAAUGGGCGCAAGCCUGAUGCAGCCAUGCCGCGUGUGUGAAGAAGGCCUUCGGGUUGUAAAGCACUUUCAGCGGGGAGGAAGGCGAUGAGGUUAAUAACCUCAUCGAUUGACGUUACCCGCAGAAGAAGCACCGGCUAACUCCGUGCCAGCAGCCGCGGUAAUACGGAGGGUGCAAGCGUUAAUCGGAAUUACUGGGCGUAAAGCGCACGCAGGCGGUCUGUCAAGUCGGAUGUGAAAUCCCCGGGCUCAACCUGGGAACUGCAUUCGAAACUGGCAGGCUAGAGUCUUGUAGAGGGGGGUAGAAUUCCAGGUGUAGCGGUGAAAUGCGUAGAGAUCUGGAGGAAUACCGGUGGCGAAGGCGGCCCCCUGGACAAAGACUGACGCUCAGGUGCGAAAGCGUGGGGAGCAAACAGGAUUAGAUACCCUGGUAGUCCACGCCGUAAACGAUGUCGAUUUGGAGGUUGUGCCCUUGAGGCGUGGCUUCCGGAGCUAACGCGUUAAAUCGACCGCCUGGGGAGUACGGCCGCAAGGUUAAAACUCAAAUGAAUUGACGGGGGCCCGCACAAGCGGUGGAGCAUGUGGUUUAAUUCGAUGCAACGCGAAGAACCUUACCUGGUCUUGACAUCCACAGAACUUUCCAGAGAUGGAUUGGUGCCUUCGGGAACUGUGAGACAGGUGCUGCAUGGCUGUCGUCAGCUCGUGUUGUGAAAUGUUGGGUUAAGUCCCGCAACGAGCGCAACCCUUAUCCUUUGUUGCCAGCGGU
rnacentral:rRNA from 1 species